rnacentral:lncRNA from 1 species
GGAUAACUAACAAAAGCCCCAUUCUCCAGCUCUUGUCCCGGCCAGCGCUUCAGCACGUAUGAUGCAGGGUCAAAGUAUCAGGUGCUCCUCAACUACCCAAUCCACCGGUGCAUCAUGAGUCCUCAACAUCCAUGUAAACGCAUGAGAACAAACCCAUUUGAAAGGAACACUUUGGCUUCAUGGUUCUCACAGAAUUCUAAUGAGGAAUGGGUCAUUUUCUGGCACUAGGUAAGUGAUUCUGACAUAACCUGGACCUGUAUAAUCAUAUGAUUAGAGCAUUUAGGGAGAAAAUGUAUCACACACAGAAAAUGAUAGUAAUAAUAAUUUAUCAGUAAUAAAGUAAAUAUGCAUAGAGA